rnacentral:lncRNA from 1 species
UUGAAAUUUGGCAGCGUUUUCCCUCUCUCAGUUUUUCUAUCCCCUUCUUCAUCGAUUUCUUCUUCUUUUAUAGCCGCUGUCCCCACGUUCCCGUUUGCCCUUCAUCCCACCUUUUUCGGGUAGUGGUAGCCUCUCAUGGGGCUCUAACUGCUGCAUUAUGGGCAAACGUGGGAUCUCGCGUCUCCCGCAACGGUUCUGGGAAAGCGCAACUACCGUGAUUCUGUGAGAUCGUGUUUCCGCUUUUCGGGGGACGGGUACCGGCUCGGUAUAUGGCUCUGGUCAGUAUUCGUCUCUGAUCG